rnacentral:rRNA from 1 species
UGGGGAAUAUUGGACACUGGGCGGAAGCCUGAUCCAGCCAUGCCGCGUGUGUGAAGAAGGCCUUUUGGUUGUAAAGCACUUUAAGCGAGGAGGAGGCUCUUCUAGUUAAUACCUAGGAUGAGUGGACGUUACUCGCAGAAUAAGCACUGGCUAACUCUGUGUCAGCAGCCGCGGUAAUACAUAGGGUGCGAGCGUUAAUCGGAUUUACUGGGCGUAAAGCUUGCGUAGGUGGCUGAUUAAGUCGGAUGUGAAAUCCCUGAGCUUAACUUAGGAAUUGCAUUCGAUACUGGUCAGCUAGAGUAUGGGAGAGGAUGGUAGACUUCCAGGUGUAGCGGUGAAAUGCGUAGAGAUCUGGAGGAAUACCGAUGGCGAAGGCAGCCAUCUGGCCUAAUACUGACGCUGAGGUACGAAAGCAUGGGGAGCAAACAGG